UUUAGCAUGGAAUAAUAAAAUAGGACGUGUGGUUCUAUUUUGUUGGUUUCUAGGACCGCCGUAAUGAUUAAUAGGGAUAGUCGGGGGCGUCAGUAUUCAGCUGUCAGAGGUGAAAUUCUUGGAUUUGCUGAAGACUAACUACUGCGAAAGCAUUCGCCAAGGAUGUUUUCAUUAAUCAGGGAACGAAAGUUAGGGGAUCGAAGACGAUCAGAUACCAUCGUAGUCUUAACCAUAAACUAUGCCGACUAGGGAUCGGACGGGAUUCUAUAAUGACCCGUUCGGCACCUUACGAGAAAUCAAAGUUUUUGGGUUCUGGGGGGAGUAUGGUCGCAAGGCUGAAACUUAAAGAAAUUGACGGAAGGGCACCACAAGGCGUGGAGCCUGCGGCUUAAUUUGACUCGACACGGGGAAACUCACCAGGUCCAGACAAAAUAAGGAUUGACAGAUUGAGAGCUCUUUCUUGAUCUUUUGGAUGGUGGUGCAUGGCCGUUCUUAGUUGGUGGAGUGAUUUGUCUGCUUAAUUGCGAUAACGAACGAGACCUCGGCCCUUAAAUAGCCCGGUCCGCAUUUGCGGGCCGCUGGCUUCUUAAGGGGACUAUCGGCUCAAGCCGAUGGAAGUGCGCGGCAAUAACAGGUCUGUGAUGCCCUUAGAUGUUCUGGGCCGCACGCGCGCUACACUGACAGGGCCAGCGAGUACAUCACCUUAACCGAGAGGUUUGGGUAAUCUUGUUAAACCCUGUCGUGCUGGGGAUAGAGCAUUGCAAUA
rnacentral:rRNA from 1 species